CAGCUGGCUGCGGCCGAGUCAUCGCCUAGCGCUGGCAGGGCCGCUGACCGACCGACGGAGGCGCCGAUUGGCCGAUUGUCCACUGCGCAGAAGGAGCAGCUGCUCCGCGCCCCGCCGCGCCGCGCUGAGGCCGAGGUCCGCAGGGCCGCGGGGAAGCCGAGGGCUGCCGGAGAACCCUGCAGGUGUCACUCGGGACGCGGAAGUGCGCUUGCCGAGAAUACAGCUACCUACCCAGGCAAUAUGAAGAUUUUAUUUGUAGAACCUGCCAUUUUCCUUAGUGCAUUUGCUAUGACUUUGACCGGUCCACUGACAACGCAAUAUGUUUAUCGGAGAAUAUGGGAAGAAACUGGCAACUACACUUUUUCAUCUGAUAGCAAUAUUUCUGAGUGUGAAAAAAACAAAAGCAGCCCAAUUUUUGCAUUCCAGGAGGAAGUUCAGAAAAAAGUGUCACGUUUUAAUCUGCAGAUGGACAUAAGUGGAUUAAUUCCUGGUCUAGUGUCUACAUUCAUACUUUUGUCUAUUAGUGAUCACUACGGACGAAAAUUCCCUAUGAUUUUGUCUUCCGUUGGUGCUCUUGCAACCAGCGUUUGGCUCUGUUUGCUUUGCUAUUUUGCCUUUCCAUUCCAGCUUUUGAUUGCAUCUACCUUCAUUGGUGCAUUUUGUGGCAAUUAUACCACAUUUUGGGGAGCUUGCUUUGCCUAUAUAGUUGAUCAGUGUAAAGAACACAAACAAAAAACAAUUCGAAUAGCUAUCAUUGACUUUCUACUUGGACUUGUUACUGGACUAACAGGACUGUCAUCUGGCUAUUUUAUUAGAGAGCUAGGUUUUGAGUGGUCGUUUCUAAUUAUUGCUGUGUCUCUUGCUGUUAAUUUGAUCUAUAUUUUAUUUUUUCUCGGAGAUCCAGUGAAAGAGUGUUCAUCUCAGAAUGUUACUAUGUCAUGUAGUGAAGGCUUCAAAAACCUAUUUUACCGAACUUACAUGCUUUUUAAGAAUGCUUCUGGUAAGAGACGAUUUUUGCUCUGUUUGUUACUUUUUACAGUAAUCACUUAUUUUUUUGUGGUAAUUGGCAUUGCCCCAAUUUUUAUCCUUUAUGAAUUGGAUUCACCACUCUGCUGGAAUGAAGUUUUUAUAGGUUAUGGAUCAGCUUUGGGUAGUGCCUCUUUUUUGACUAGUUUCCUAGGAAUAUGGCUUUUUUCUUAUUGUAUGGAAGAUAUUCAUAUGGCCUUCAUUGGGAUUUUUACCACGAUGACAGGAAUGGCUAUGACCGCGUUUGCCAGUACAACACUGAUGAUGUUUUUAGCCAGGGUGCCGUUCCUUUUCACUAUUGUGCCAUUCUCUGUUCUACGGUCCAUGUUGUCAAAAGUGGUUCGUUCGACUGAACAAGGUACCCUGUUUGCUUGUAUUGCUUUCUUAGAAACACUUGGAGGAGUCACUGCAGUUUCUACUUUUAAUGGAAUUUACUCAGCCACUGUUGCUUGGUACCCUGGCUUCACUUUCCUGCUGUCUGCUGGUCUGUUACUACUUCCAGCCAUCAGUCUAUGUGUUGUCAAGUGUACCAGCUGGAAUGAGGGAAGCUAUGAACUUCUUAUACAAGAAGAAUCCAGUGAAGAUGCUUCAGACAGGUGACUGUGAUUUAAACAAACAAAAAAAAUCUAUGAAUGCACAUAUCAUAUACCAUGACUUCUGAAGACUAUAAAUGAAUUCCACAAUCAGUGCUUCACUGAG
rnacentral:lncRNA from 1 species